UGUAAGCGUAUACCAAAGUUGUUGCAGUUAAAACGCUCGUAGUCGGAAUUUGGCAGUUCCGGAUGUGUGCACGUCGUGUGCGCACUUCGCGGGGAUUGCUUUUGUGGUCUUGCGUAGGAUGAGGCACUUUUAUUAGUGAACGUCCUCACGCAACCACUUUUUACUGUGAGAAAAUCAGAGUGCUCAAAGCAGGCAUUUGCCGUGAAUGUAUUAGCAUGGAAUAAUAGAAUAGGACUUGGUUCUAUUUUGUUGGUUUGUUGGGACUGAGUAAUGAUUAAGAGGGACAGUUGGGGGCAUUUGUAUUUCGGUGCUAGAGGUGAAAUUCUUAGAUUACCGAAAGAUAAACUGCUGCGAAAGCGUCUGCCAAGGAUGUUUUCAUUGA
rnacentral:rRNA from 1 species